rnacentral:rRNA from 1 species
UACGUAGGGCGCAAGCGUUAUCCGGAAUUAUUGGGCGUAAAGAGCUCGUAGGCGGUUUGUUGCGUCGGCUGUGAAAUCCCGAGGCUCAACCUCGGGUCUGCAGUCGAUACGAGCAAACUAGAGUGUUGCAGGGGAGACUGGAAUUCCUGGUGUAGCGGUGAAAUGCGCAGAUAUCAGGAGGAACACCGGUGGCGGAAGGCGGGUCUCUGGGCCGAAACUGACGCUGGAGGAAGCGAAAGCGUGGGGAGCGAACAGG